CGCCAGACUCCUACGGGAGGCAGCAGUGGGGAAUAUUGCACAAUGGGGGAAACCCUGAUGCAGCGACGCCGCGUGAGCGAUGAAGUAUUUCGGUAUGUAAAGCUCUAUCAGCAGGGAAGAAAAUGACGGUACCUGACUAAGAAGCCCCGGCUAACUACGUGCCAGCAGCCGCGGUAAUACGUAGGGGGCAAGCGUUAUCCGGAUUUACUGGGUGUAAAGGGAGCGUAGACGGCUGUGCAAGCCAGAUGUGAAAGCCCGGGGCUCAACCCCGGGACUGCAUUUGGAACUGCGUGGCUUGAGUGUCGGAGAGGCAGGCGGAAUUCCUAGUGUAGCGGUGAAAUGCGUAGAUAUCAGGAGGAACACCGGUGGCGAAGGCGGCCUGCUGGACUGCAACUGACGUUGAGGCCCGAAAGCGUGGGGAGCAAACAGGAUUAGAUACCCCUGUAUUG
rnacentral:rRNA from 1 species